rnacentral:rRNA from 1 species
AGUGUACGCUGGCGGUAGGCCUAACACAUGCAAGUCGAACGGCAGCACAGUAAGAGCUUGCUCUUACGGGUGGCGAGUGGCGGACGGGUGAGGAAUACAUCGGAAUCUACUUUUUCGUGGGGGAUAACGUAGGGAAACUUACGCUAAUACCGCAUACGACCUACGGGUGAAAGCAGGGGAUCUUCGGACCUUGCGCGAUUGAAUGAGCCGAUGUCGGAUUAGCUAGUUGGCGGGGUAAAGGCCCACCAAGGCGACGAUCCGUAGCUGGUCUGAGGGGAUGAUCAGCCACACUGGAACUGAGACACGGUCCAGACUCCUACGGGAGGCAGCAGUGGGGAAUAUUGGACAAUGGGCGCAAGCCUGAUCCAGCCAUACCGCGUGGGUGAAGAAGGCCUUCGGGUUGUAAAGCCCUUUUGUUGGGAAAGAAAAGCAGCAGGUUAAUACCCCGCUGUUCUGACGGUACCCAAAGAAUAAGCACCGGCUAACUUCGUG